rnacentral:rRNA from 1 species
UACAGAGGGUGCAAGCGUUACUCGGAAUUACUGGGCGUAAAGCGCGCGUAGGUGGUUUGUUAAGUUGGAUGUGAAAUCCCCGGGCUCAACCUGGGAACUGCAUCCAAAACUGGCAAGCUAGAGUAUGGUAGAGGGUGGUGGAAUUUCCUGUGUAGCGGUGAAAUGCGUAGAUAUAGGAAGGAACACCAGUGGCGAAGGCGACCACCUGGACUGAUACUGACACUGAGGUGCGAAAGCGUGGGGAGCAAACAGG